rnacentral:rRNA from 1 species
UGGGGAAUUUUGGACAAUGGGGGAAACCCUGAUCCAGCCAUCCCGCGUGUGCGAUGAAGGCCUUCGGGUUGUAAAGCACUUUUGGCAGGAAAGAAACGUCAUGGGUUAAUACCCCGUGAAACUGACGGUACCUGCAGAAUAAGCACCGGCUAACUACGUGCCAGCAGCCGCGGUAAUACGUAGGGUGCAAGCGUUAAUCGGAAUUACUGGGCGUAAAGCGUGCGCAGGCGGUUCGGAAAGAAAGAUGUGAAAUCCCAGAGCUCAACUUUGGAACUGCAUUUUUAACUACCGGGCUAGAGUGUGUCAGAGGGAGGUGGAAUUCAGCGUGUAGCAGUGAAAUGCGUAGCUAUGCGGAGGAACACCGAUGGCGAAGGCAGCCUCCUGGGAUAACACUGACGCUCAUGCACGAAAGCGUGGGGAGCAAACAGG